UACGUAGGGUGCAAGCGUUGUCCGGAAUUAUUGGGCGUAAAGAGCUCGUAGGCGGUCUGUCGCGUCGGCUGUGAAAACCCGGAGCUCAACUCCGGGCCUGCAGUCGAUACGGGCAGACUGGAGUUCGGCAGGGGAGACUGGAAUUCCUGGUGUAGCGGUGAAAUGCGCAGAUAUCAGGAGGAACACCGGUGGCGAAGGCGGGACUCUGGGCCGAUACUGACGCUGAGACGCGAAAGCGUGGGGAGCAAACAGG
rnacentral:rRNA from 1 species